GGAUUAGAUACCCUGGUAGUCCACGCCGUAAACGGUGGGCACUAGGUGUGGGACUCAUUCCACGAGUUCCGUGCCGUAGCUAACGCAUUAAGUGCCCCGCCUGGGGAGUACGGCCGCAAGGCUAAAACUCAAAGGAAUUGACGGGGGCCCGCACAAGCGGCGGAGCAUGUGGAUUAAUUCGAUGCAACGCGAAGAACCUUACCUGGGUUUGACAUAUACCGGAAACAUCUGGAGACAGGUGCCCCGCAAGGUCGGUAUACAGGUGGUGCAUGGCUGUCGUCAGCUCGUGCCG
rnacentral:rRNA from 1 species